UACGGAGGAUGCGAGCGUUAUCCGGAUUUAUUGGGUUUAAAGGGUGCGUAGGCGGCUUAGUAAGUCAGCGGUGAAAUUUCGCAGCUUAACUGUAACAGUGCCGUUGAUACUGCCAGGCUAGGAUUUGGUUGCUGUGGGUGGAAUGUGUGGUGUAGCGGUGAAAUGCUUAGAUAUCACACAGAAUAUCGAUUGCGAAGGCAGCUCACAAAGCCAAGAUUGACGCUGAGGCACGAAAGUGUGGGGAUCAAACA
rnacentral:rRNA from 1 species